rnacentral:lncRNA from 1 species
ACUUUUUAAGUUGUUAAUACACAUUACAAUCAUGGAGUCGAGAGAUAUAAUAGAAUGAACUAUCCCUCGUGUAUGUAUUAAUUACAUAAGAGUACAGUAAUCACUUAAAGGCGAGAACAUUAAUCGUCAGUGAAACUAUUCAAAGACACCUCACACAAUUUCAUCAACCCAAUCAAAUACCUCAUUCAUAUGCCAAAGGUCAACAUACAAUGAUGAUUGGAUAACACCUCACAAAAUUUCAUCAACCCAAUCAAAUACCUCAUUCAUAUGCCAAAGAUCAACAUACAAAAUGAAAAUCCGAGGAGAAAACUACCCACUCUGCAGUCAAAAUUGGUGAACAAUAACAUAUAAUGAGUACAUAAUACCAGAAAUAAAUACUAGAUCAUCAUAUAAAACGAUCGACGAAACAGUAGGCAUUCUGCUGAUACCCUAUCAUCUGUUCACCGAGACAUCAACCUCUAAUAAUCAUGUCAGAUGUUAAUGAGAUAAAUGACCCAGAGGCUGUUUCCGUGAUCAUCAUUUAGCACCUAGGAGGAAGAGCGGAGCAUCUGUUAACAUCAAGGUGCCAAUAGAAAGAGGUAAGGAAGGAUCAUCGACGCAACCUGUUCUGGUU